GAAGCUUCUUCCAUAAGUUGUGUUUUUAGCCUUUGUCAUUUCCUAAAAGCUUUUCCAUUCCAACAUGGUGCUCACCAUCGACAAACACCACAAAAGAUUCAGUAGCAUCCAAAAGAACAUUUGAUUUCAAGCUAUAAUGGUCUAUAAACCCACUGGUCUUUGGAGAUUAUCCUGAGACCAUGAGGAAAAAUGCAGGCACAUGACUCCCAACUCUCAGUGAAUCUGAAUCCCAACAAGUGAGGAAUGCUUUUGACCUUAUAGGCAUCAAUUAUAACUUUGCAACAUUUGUAGUUGAUGACUCCGAUGCUCCCAAGAUCGGUCCACGAGAUUUUAAUCCUGACAGGCUAAAUUCACAGAAGCUGUAGUGCAGGUUCAAAUGACGAACCACCAGUAGAUCAGGUGAGGCUUUGUGAACCCAAAGUUUUGGCUUUGGUUAUAUCUCAAGUGAAGCUCUGCUAACAUGUUCUGCUCAAUAACAGUUUAUUCCUCCAGGUUACAUACCAAACAAUCCUACAGGUUAUGGCCGUGGAAUCAAAGAGGAGCUCAAUGACAAGGGGAGAAUAUCAUUUCUGAGUGGUUACAUUGGAGGCCUUCAGGGAAGGAUCGGAUGUGAGGGUGUACUUCGUUUGGUCAUUUCUGGUUUUUUUCAAGCUAUUAUAUGGGUACAGAAGCA